UAUAUAUCAUUCAUUGUGGUAACAUCACAAAGACUCCGACGAACUAGAAUAGAGGUGAGAAUUGAGCUCUUCAAACUUAUGAGAGUAUGUAGAAAGUAUGCAAAGUUGUAUUUUUGUGACUGCGGAAUGCAAGUGUUCACUAUUCUAUAAAUAGGCACACCAUGAGGGGAGCUUGCUGGAAUAAUGGCACAUCAAAAUCCUUCACUCCCCACUUUUAAAAAAAAAAAAAAAAAAAGAGGGACACCUCCAUUGCUCAUGGAAUGAUGGGACAUCAAAAUCCUUCAUUCCCCACUAUCAAAAAAUAAAUAAAUAAAAUAAUUGAUUAAUUAAUAAUAAUAAUUCCUCAAUUGCUCGUCAACGCACCAUCAACGCUUAUUAUUAUUUUGAAUGUUUUAACCGUCACAAGAGACCAUCACUUUAAAGGGCC
rnacentral:lncRNA from 1 species